CCCUUCUUCUUCUUCCUCCUUCUUUUCCAUUGGAGGAGAGAUAGACCUAUAGAUACACAUAUACAUACACAUACAAACAGUAGAACAGAGAAAAUCCAAUUUGAGCUGAGUAUAGUUGACAUCCCACCAACUAUUUUUUUACUAAUAUAUAUGGUUGAAAAAUAAAGAUAAAAUUCUGCACUACGAAAAGGUUUUACAGGUGGGUUUUUAGUUUUGAGGAGUAUUUUCAACUGGGUCGAAAGUUCAUGGUGGAAAUGAUUUGUUUGUUUCGAUUCAGUAAGGUUAACUUUUUUUUCAAUGAUUGAUUGGUCUUUGUUCUAUUGAGAAGUGAGAUAUUAAGAGAGUUUUAUGAAGAAUCACUUCUGGGGGAUGGAUUGAUUGACCUUAAGGAGGCUUUUCCUUAUUUGGAUUAAACUGUGGAAUUUUAUUGGAGAAGUGGUUGUAGCUUUGAUGAAUUAGGGUUUUGGAGCUAUGAUCGAAUCGUUUGUUAUGUUACCAUGUUGUUGUAUGUAACAGUAGAUUUUGUGUGGAUAUAGGGAGUUAGGUAAUAACAGGUAUAUGUAUGGAAAUGGCUGCAGAAUCUAACACAGGAUUUCAUCAUCAAUCUUUAUCGUUUCAAUCGGGGGCAAUAGGAAG
rnacentral:misc_RNA from 1 species